UGGGGGAUAUUGCACAAUGGGGGAAACCCUGAUGCAGCGACGCCGCGUGAGUGAAGAAGUAUUUUCGGUAUGUAAAGCGUCUAUCAGCAGGGAAGAAAAUGACGGUACCUGAGUAAGAAGCCCCGGCUAACUACGUGCCAGCAGCCGCGGUAAUACGUAGGGGGCAAGCGUUAUCCGGAUUUACUGGGUGUAAAGGGAGCGUAGACGGCAGGGCAAGUCUGAAGUGAAAGGCGGGGGCUCAACCCCCGGACUGCUUUGGAAACUGUCCGGCUGGAGUGCAGGGAGAGGUAAGUGGAAUUCCUAGUGUAGCGGUGAA
rnacentral:rRNA from 1 species